GGGAGUGAAAAAGAACCUGAAACCGUGUACGUACAAGCAGUGGGAGCACAGGUUUACCUGUGUGACUGCGUACCUUUUGUAUAAUGGGUCAGCGACUUAUAUUCUGUAGCAAGGUUAACCGAAUAGGGGAGCCGGAGGGAAACCGAGUCUUAAUUGGGCGUUAAGUUGCAGGGUAUAGACCCGAAACCCGGUGAUCUAGCCAUGGGCAGGUUGAAGGUUGGGUAACACUAACUGGAGGACCGAACCGACUAAUGUUGAAAAAUUAGCGGAUGACCUGUGGCUGGGGGUGAAAGGCCAAUCAAACCGGGAGAUAGCUGGUUCUCCCCGAAAGCUAUUUAGGUAGCGCCUCGUGAAUUCAUCUCCGGGGGUAGAGCACUGUUUCGGCUAGGGGGCCAUCCCGGCUUACCAACCCGAUGCAAACUGCGAAUACCGGAGAAUGUUAUCACGGGAGACACACGGCGGGUGCUAACGUCCGUCGUGAAGAGGGAAACAACCCAGACCGCCAGCUAAGGUCCCAAAGUCAUGGUUAAGUGGGAAACGAUGUGGGAAGGCCCAGACAGCCAGGAUGUUGGCUUAGAAGCAGCCAUCAUUUAAAGAAAGCGUAAUAGCUCACUGGUCGAGUCGGCCUGCGCGGAAGAUGUAACGGGGCUAAACCAUG
rnacentral:rRNA from 1 species